ACCAGCACAGACGCACUAACUGACCUACCUGACGUCAGGAGAGAGGGUUGUGGUGGGUCUAAUUCAUUGGACGAAAGGCAGGAAACACCCCAGACAGCCAGUCUCACGGCAUCACAAGGCAACACUUAAUUUGGAUAACUGAAUUUGGUUUCUGUCGAUGACCUAGGCUGAGCAGCAGGCUGUUGGUUUGAUGAAGUUUUUAGGGCUGACUCCCCUGUGUGAUCUGGUUGAAAGCAGACAAGAGACCUUAUUCAAAUUGGGCAGAAGUUUAGCAAAGUGACAGAGAGAGAAAGAGUGAGAGAGUGAGGGAGUAAGAGAGAGAGAGAGAGAGAGUUUUACCACAGAGUGUCGUUAGUUGUAACGGUUUUCCAUUUUUCAUGGCAGUUUAGAUUUAAAUGAGCUCAUUUAAGUGAACAAAGAAUACAUAGUAUCAACCAAACAAUA